UCUCGCAAAUGGAUACUCCGAUCCAUUUCUUCUUCAUUUAGAUUUUAGCCCUAGCCUAACUCAGUGAUUUAUCCCCUUUCGUCUGCAAGCCUGAGCUUCUACCUUAGCUGACUGCCGCCGCUUCCAUCUCAGCUGGCUGCCGCCGCUUCUUCCACGGCUCCGCUACCGGCAGAACAGAAAGUCUCUAUUGAAAGUUAAUUCUAGUGGUCUUGGCAAACAAUUGUGAUGGGAAUCGGUUUUUUGGCGCUGUAGCUGAUAACAAGGCAAAUUGUAACAUGGUUGGUUGCUUGGUUUUUCCUGACUCGUUUGUGACUGACUGAAUUUUGAUGGUGAAUGUAGAGCAUGAGAAAACCUAAAGCUCUUUUGGGUUUUAACAGUUACUCUGUUAGCAUCAGUUAUUCAACCAACCAUUCUAGUUGUCUGCUUUAAAUCCAAACUGCAUGGGAUCAAGACCCAAUCAAAACUGGAAUCAUAACCGGAAUACUUUCUCUCACAGAAGGGAUUGCAGUUGGAAGGACAUUUGCUAGUCUGAAAAACUAAUCUGUAGAAAUGAUGGCCUGAUGAACAUGGCUGGCUCUUGCUUGUCUUGCUACGUUACCACUGGGUUAUUUUCGAGAUCAGCUGUGAACUACAAUGCUGGUGCAAAGACUGUCGUCUCAAACAUAGUAAUGGCUGCAGCAGUGCCGCUGUUCUCUUACACUCCCAGUCUCAUCUUGGCAGCCAUCAUCAUCACUCUUGUGGUUGGCCUAAUUGACUACCACGCAGCGUUCAAGCUUUAGAAAGUCUUCAAACUUGAUCAUCAUCACUAGAUUUUGAUUUAAAGCAUUUUGAACUCAAUUGACUUGUAAAACAGUUUAGUACUCGCUUUUGAAUUCAACUGGGCAUCCUGAGUUUAAUGUCAUUUUAAUUUAAUUA